GAUUAGCCGUUGAUACCCGAAUGGGGAAACCCGGUGCAAGCAGUUGCACUAUCGUUAGAUGAAUAAACUAGUUUAACGAGGCGAACCGGGAGAAGUGAAACAUCUAAGUACCCCGAGGAAAAGAAAUCAACCGAGAUUUCCCGAGUAGCGGCGAGCGAAAGGGAAGCAGCCCAGAGCGUGCAUCGCUAUUGAUAUCAGAGGAAAGGUCUGGACCGACCUGCUAAAGAGGGUGAGAGCCCCGUACUCGAAGAUAGCAGUAGUG
rnacentral:rRNA from 1 species